rnacentral:misc_RNA from 1 species
GAUGAAGAACGUAGCGAAAUGCGAUAAGUAAUGUGAAUUGCAGAAUUCAGUGAAUCAUCGAAUCUUUGAACGCACAUUGCGCCCUUCGGUAUUCCGUUGGGCAUGCCUGUUCGAGCGUCAUUUAAACCUUCAAGCUAUGCUUGGUGUUGGGUGUUUGUUCCGCCUCAGCGCGUGGACUCGCCUCAAAUUCAUUGGCAGCCGGUAUGUUGGCUUCGUGCGCAGCACAUUGCAAGCGAAUUUAGCAGACCCCCUUCCACAAGCCUUUUUUUACUUUGACCUCGGAUCAGGUAGGGAUACCCGCUGAACUUAAGCAUAUCAAUAAGCGGAGGA